AAUAGAUACCCGGGUAGUCCACGCCCUAAACGAUGUCUACUAGUUGUCGGGUUUUAAUUAACUUGGUAACGCAGCUAACGCGUGAAGUAGACCGCCUGGGGAGUACGGUCGCAAGAUUAAAACUCAAAGGAAUUGACGGGGACCCGCACAAGCGGUGGAUGAUGUGGAUUAAUUCGAUGCAACGCGAAAAACCUUACCUACCCUUGACAUGGAAGGAAUCCUGGAGAGAUCUGGGAGUGCCCGAAAGGGAACCUUCACACAGGUGCUGCAUGGCUGUCGUCAGCUCGUGUCGUGAGAUGUUGGGUUAAGUCCCGCAGCGAGCGCAACCCUUGUCAUUAGUUGCUACGCAAGAGCACUCUAAUGAGACUGCCGGUGACAAACCGGAGGAAGGUGGGGAUGACGUCAAGUCCUCAUGGCCCUUAUGGGUAGGGCUUCACACGUCAUACAAUGGUACAUACAGAGGGCCGCCAACCCGCGAGGGGGAGCUAAUCCCAGAAAGUGUAUCGUAGUCCGGAUUGUAGUCUGCAACUCGACUAC
rnacentral:rRNA from 1 species